CUUAUCGGAAGAGAUUUGACUUUGUGGCUCUUGCACCUCGAGACUAUACCGCUACGCCUGGUGGCUCAUGCUCCUAUAGGUUGAUGUUGCCUGAGAUUUGCACUGCCUCCUUCAUCUGUGUUCGAUUCUAUGUUAAACCUGCUUUAUUCUUAGUUUUCUCUUUUGUCAAAUAGUUGUAUACAUGUCUAUUGUGUGUCUUUUAUUAUUUUUCUUAUUGAGUGGUGUUGUCAGGAUUUUAUCG
rnacentral:lncRNA from 1 species